CCUCCUUUCUUGGCAUACGAGUGGAUUAUGUGUGCACAUGUGUAUAUGUGACAGAAGAAAAUGAAAGUCUAGUGUUAUCUUUGGUGCCAGAAAGUCUACCCUCUUCUGGUUCUACUCUCAGUCACUGGCACAAUA
rnacentral:snoRNA from 1 species